rnacentral:other from 1 species
UGUAUUCUGCUGUGCUCGAAGUGCAACGAACGCCUUAAUCCUUUAGUUCCUUUAUUCGGGAGCUUGACCCGCUCAGAUGGCUGUCAGGCCGUAAAUCGGAAGGCAAAAGUCUGAGAGGAAAGCACCCACCUUAUUUUCAAAGGUUUGGGGCAACUGAAGCAUACGACACAAUAGUGGAUACGC